rnacentral:rRNA from 1 species
UUGACCUCGGAUCAGGUAGGAAUACCCGCUGAACUUAAGCAUAUCAAUAAGCGGAGGAAAAGAAACCAACAGGGAUUGCCCCAGUAACGGCGAGUGAAGCGGCAACAGCUCAAAUUUGAAAUCUGGCCCCAGGCCCGAGUUGUAAUUUGCAGAGGAUGCUUUUGGCGCGGUGCCUUCCGAGUUCCCUGGAACGGGACGCCAUAGAGGGUGAGAGCCCCGUACGGUUGGACACCAAGCCUUUGUAAAGCUCCUUCGACGAGUCGAGUAGUUUGGGAAUGCUGCUCAAAAUGGGAGGUAUAUUUCUUCUAAAGCUAAAUAUAGGCCAGAGACCGAUAGCGCACAAGUAGAGUGAUCGAAAGAUGAAAAGCACUUUGAAAAGAGGGUUAAACAGCACGUGAAUUGUUAAAAGGGAAGCGCUUGUGACCAGACUUGCGUCCGGUGAAUCACCCAGCUCUCGCGGCUGGGGCACUUCGCCGGCACAGGCCAGCAUCAGCUUGCCGUCGGGGACAAAAGCUUCAGGAACGUAGCUCUCUUCGGGGAGUGUUAUAGCCUGUUGCAUAAUACCCUUCGGCGGGCUG